GGGACAACUGAGGGACUCAUAUGCAGCUAUUACAGAAGGUUCUGAUGUGCAAGAAGGAAAAAUGAUGCAUUAAGAGCCAUUUUUGAAAAGAAUGAAGAUGUUUACAUGUCUUAUUUUGCCUAAAUAUAUAUAUUUUUUCAUUUAGUACUGCCCUUCAGAAGCUACAUGCUUGCAUGUUUCCCAGAAUAUACAAAGCAAGUUACAUUUACCCUGAUCUUCAAAUUCAAAAAGUUUUCACCCCCCAGCUCUUAAUACAUCGGUUUUCCUUCUGGAGCAUCAGUGAGCGUUUGAACCUUCUGUAAUAGUUGCAUGAGUCCCUAAGUUGUCCUCAAGGUGAAAAGAUGGAUCUCAAAAUCAUACAGUCAUUGGAAAGGGUACAAAUACAUAAAAAUGCUGAAAAAGCAAAGAAUUUGUGGAACCUGAAGGAUUUUUUUGAAGUAACUUUUCACCCGUGAACAACUAUCACUGAACAAAAAAACAAAACAAACAACAGCUGUGGAUCAUUCAGGUAACAACACAGUAUUAAGAAUCAAGUGUAUGUAAACUUUUGAACAGCGUAAUUUUUAGAAAUUCAAUAUAUGUAAAUGUCUUAUAUGUGAAAUAUCUUAUUCAGGUCAGUACUAAAUAAAAAAAAUAACGUGUUUUGUAUGAUCCCUCUUAUUUUGGUAAAAUAAUGAACACUUUGCAGAUUCUGCAAGGUGUAUGUCAACUUUUGACCUCGAAAGAGCAUUAAACAGGUUUGUAAUGACAUGAGAGUGAGUAAAUGAUUUUUGAAAUCAUUUUUGGUGAACUAUCCCUUUAUUCUGUAACCCAAUGCAAACUUAUUAUCAAACGCACAGAUUUAAAAUGCCUGGCUGUGUCCGACGUGUGUUCUAAGCCGUCAUAUCCAUAAAAUUAAAUUUUUUUGUUGUUAAACUAAUUAUGAAUGUAUCUUUUAACUGUUUCUAUGGCCUACAUUUAUUUCCAGCAGUAACUGUCGCUGUGCUUUACUGCAUACUCAAAUCAAGGGUCUUAUUUUUCUGGAUGUUCACGCAAAAGACCCCCUCCCGCCCCCCGUGCAUCCUGUAGCACGAGCGAUGUGCUUAGCUUGUCGAAAUAUAUCUUCUAUACAUAUUCAUAGUGAUUAUAUAUGUCUUCCUAGUGGGAAAAAUGUAAAGUAGUUCUGAAUUGUGAUUAUAUUUACAGCGUAUACAUGCCAUAUCUAAAGUGCACUGAAGAGCUUUAUCCUCUAGGCUUUCAAACGCACACUUUUCGAGUGGUAUUUGUUCGUGUGAGGGUCACGGCGGCUCCUCUCAUUCAUCAAUACAUGUGCUUUCAGUUCAUCUGAUCCAAAGCUCACGACAGAACUGCUGUAUUUAACAAAUGUGUUGUGUGUGUGUGUGUUUGAUUUGGUGGGUUCCUCCUUCAGGAUGUUGGUCAUGCUUCUUUCUUUGGUGCAAUGUGUACUUACUCGCUCAAUGAAAUCGUAUUUUUUAAUUUCGAUGAACAGGCUGUUGAUAAAUCUAUUUAUUGUUGUGUGGAGGAAUACUGUGCUGUAUUUUGGAGUGCGCCGUCUGUUUCUGUGUAUUUUAGCUGUUCGUGUGAGUGCGCUUGCGUUGUCAUAUUGAGGGAUUCGGAUAUUGUACGAGUCGGCUGACCCCAGUCAUUAUAGCAUUAUGUCUUCAGACUGUUUUAGAGAGAAAUGUUUAUCAAAUCUAGUAUAAUCUUGAGAGGACAGCAGACUGAACACAAAAAGACGUGUAAGUUUUGAAACGAUGCCUUGUUGAUUAAAAGUCUCAAACGUUUAAAGGCCCCAAAGGCAUUUAUUUGAUUCUGGGGAAGCAUAUCAUGGUUCAGCCUCAGUUGUUUUUGUUAAUUGUAUAGCAUUCCAGACUGUACUGAUGCAUUAUGGAUGAAUGAUCAGCCUUCAGGCACUUAUUUUAUGCGUGCAGUUGUUUUACUCAUGUUAUGCAGGUUUUUAAAUGUCCCACGAGGGCAUAAUGAAAUGAUUGAUUCUUGGUUAAAGUGUAUGUAUUUCAGGAAAGCAGUAUUUUACUUGCGUUUUUGUUCCUUGUUUACAUUUUAGGUACCAAUUUAUCAUUUGCAUAGCUGUUUAAAUGUUUGGCUGGGACGUGUUGAGCAACAUAUUUUUGCUUUGAGCAUUACAGAUUUAUUUUGAAGCUGAAAAGCACUGGAAAGUUUGUUUUUGGGGUUUGGUUGUGGAAGGGGUCAGAAGAAGCCAGCCAGCAAGAUUAAUGCAUGUGAAAACCAUUCCAAAAUGCAUUCCAAAGCACUAACUGUGAAUAUCGCCAGAAUACAGACAAGUAUCAGGUUGUGCAUAAUAUAUCUAUUUUUUUUCUUUCGAUGACUGAUGAACACAAUGUAACCACUUAACAUUCAAAGGCAUUAGAAGUCAUGUGUUCCGUAUGUAAUGAAAGCGUUGAACCUGACAUUGCUAGCGCAACUUGAGAAGCAAGGUUUUAUAGGAAUUAACUCCUUUUGUGAAGUUAAUGUUCCUUUGUAGCUUUUAGCCCAGUAGUAAACAGAAGUCUGUGGUAUUAACCUUAUAUGUAUGUAUACACAAACCACAAAACUGCAAUCCGUAACGAGUACUCGAUCUGUAAUUUAAGUGCAUACCAAAAGUGCACAUUUAUGUAUGGAGCAAUUGAUGUUGUAUGUAUGCAAUAAUAAAUGUAAUUCAACAUGAAA